rnacentral:rRNA from 1 species
GACGUAGGGUCCAAGCGUUGUCCGGAUUUACUGGGCGUAAAGAGCGCGUAGGCGGCUUGUUAAGUGUGAAGUGAAAUCUCCAGGGCUCAACCCAGAAACUGCUUUACAUACUGGCAAGCUGGAGUGAUGCAGAGGUUUGUGGAAUUCCUGGUGUAACGGUGAAAUGUGUUGAUAUCAGGAGGAACACCCAUGGCGAAGGCAGCAAACUGGGCAUCAACUGACGCUGAGGCGCGAAAGCGUGGGUAGCAAACAGG